rnacentral:tRNA from 1 species
GCUGUGGCUCAGUGGUAAAACAUCUGCUCAGCAUGCAGGAGACCCGAGGUUCAAGCCCUGGCAUCUCCA